CCUACGGGAGGCAGCAGUGAGGAAUAUUGGUCAAUGGGCGGGAGCCUGAACCAGCCAAGCCGCGUGAGGGAAGAAGGUACAGCGGAUUGUAAACCUCUUUUGUCAGGGAACAAAGGCCGGGACUAGUCCCCGGCUGAGUGUACCCGAAGAAAAAGCAUCGGCUAACUCCGUGCCAGCAGCCGCGGUAAUACGGAGGAGGCGAGCGUUAUCCGGAUUUAUUGGGUUUAAAGGGUGCGCAGGCGGACUGUUAAGUCAGCGGUAAAAGCCCGGGGCUCAACCCCUGCGAGCCGUUGAAACUGGGGGGCUGGAGUUGGCGAGAGGUACGCGGAAUGCGCGGUGUAGCGGUGACAUGCUUAGAUAUCGCGCAGAACCCCGAUUGCGAAGGCAGCGUACCGGCUCGCAACUGACGCUGAUGCACGAAAGCGUGGGUAUCGAACAGGAUUAGAUACCCUUGUAGUC
rnacentral:rRNA from 1 species